rnacentral:rRNA from 1 species
GACGAACGCUGGCGGCGUGCUUAACACAUGCAAGUCGAGCGGUAAGGCCCUUUCGGGGGUACGACGAGCGGCGAACGGGUAGAGUAACACGUGGGUGACCUGCCCUCCAGCUCUGGGAGUAAGACCUGGGAAACCGGGGUACUAAUACCGGAUAUGACUCCAUGACGCAUGUUGUGGGGUGGAAAGCCUUGUGCGGCUGAGGAUGGGCCCGCGGCCUAUCAGCUUGUUGGUGGGGUGAUGGCCUACCAAGGCGACGACGGGUAGCCGGCCUGAGAGGGCGACCGGCCACACUGGGACUGAGACACGGCCCAGACUCCUACGGGAGGCAGCAGUGGGGAAUCUUGCGCAAUGGGCGAAAGCCUGACGCAGCGACGCCGCGUGAGGGAUGACGGCCUGUGUAC